rnacentral:rRNA from 1 species
AUAGCGUAUAUUAAAGUUGUUGCAGUUAAAAAGCUCGUAGUUGGACCUUGGGCCUGGACAGGCGGUCCGCCUCACGGCGUGUACUGUCUUGCUGGGCCUUUCCUCUUGGUGAUCUGUGGUUUCGGCCGCAGGGAACCAGGACCUUUACUUUGAAAAAAUUAGAGUGUUCAAAGCAGGCUUUACGCCAGAAUAUAUUAGCAUGGAAUAAUAAAAUAGGACGUGCGGUUCUAUUUUGUUGGUUUUUGGGAUCGCCGUAAUGAUUAAUAGGGACAGUCGGGGGCAUUAGUACUCACAUGCUAGAGGUGAAAUUCUUGGAUUUUGUGAAGACUAACUUCUGCGAAAGCAUUUGCCAAGGAUGUUUUCAUUAAUCAAGAACGAAGGUUAGGGUAUCGAAAACGAUUAGAUACCGUUGUAGUCUUAACAGUAAACUAUGCCGACUAGGGAUCGGUCGAUGUUAUUUUCUUGACUCGAUCGGCACCUUACGAGAAAUCAAAGUUUUUGGGUUCUGGGGGGAGUAUGGUCGCA